rnacentral:rRNA from 1 species
UGGGGAAUAUUGGACAAUGGGCGCAAGCCUGAUCCAGCCAUGCCGCGUGUGUGAAGAAGGUCUUCGGAUUGUAAAGCACUUCAAGUUGGGAGGAAGGGCCAUUACCUAAUACGUGAUGGUUUUGACGUUACCGACAGAAUAAGCACCGGCUAACUCUGUGCCAGCAGCCGCGGUAAUACAGAGGGUGCAAGCGUUAAUCGGAAUUACUGGGCGUAAAGCGCGCGUAGGUGGUUUGUUAAGUUGGAUGUGAAAUCCCCGGGCUCAACCUGGGAACUGCAUUCAAAACUGACUGACUAGAGUAUGGUAGAGGGUGGUGGAAUUUCCUGUGUAGCGGUGAAAUGCGUAGAUAUAGGAAGGAACACCAGUGGCGAAGGCGACCACCUGGACUGAUACUGACACUGAGGUGCGAAAGCGUGGGGAGCAAACAGGAUUAGAUACCCCUGUAGUCCCUGAGCGGGCUGGCAAGGCGCAU